CACUCCUGCGGGAGGCAGCAGUGGGGAAUUUUGGACAAUGGGCGAAAGCCUGAUCCAGCAAUGCCGCGUGCAGGAUGAAGGCCUUCGGGUUGUAAACUGCUUUUGUACGGAACGAAAAAGCUCCUUCUAAUACAGGGGGCCCAUGACGGUACCGUAAGAAUAAGCACCGGCUAACUACGUGCCAGCAGCCGCGGUAAUACGUAGGGUGCGAGCGUUAAUCGGAAUUACUGGGCGUAAAGCGUGCGCAGGCGGUUAUGUAAGACAGAUGUGAAAUCCCCGGGCUCAACCUGGGAACUGCAUUUGUGACUGCAUGGCUAGAGUACGGUAGAGGGGGAUGGAAUUCCGCGUGUAGCAGUGAAAUGCGUAGAUAUGCGGAGGAACACCGAUGGCGAAGGCAAUCCCCUGGACCUGUACUGACGCUCAUGCACGAAAGCGUGGGGAGCAAACAGGAUUAGAAACCCCGGUAGUCCCAUG
rnacentral:rRNA from 1 species